rnacentral:rRNA from 1 species
UACGGGGGGAGCAAGGCGUUGUUCGGAUUUACUGGGCGUAAAGGGCGCGGUAGGCGGCGUGACAAGUCACUUGUGAAAUCUCCGGGCUUAACUCGGAACGGUCAAGUGAUACUGUCGUGCUAGAGUACAGAAGGGGCAACUGGAAUUCUCGGUGUAGCGGUGAAAUGCGUAGAUAUCGAGAGGAACACCUGCGGCGAAGGCGGGUUGCUGGGCUGAUACUGACGCUGAGGCGCGAAAGCCAGGGGAGCGAACGGG